AAAUAAGAGGUAAAGACUAAAAAUGAACAAUCUGUUAUGACAGUAUAGAAGCCACCAUUUUCUUUAUUGCUCUGGCACCAGGAAGUGGGUGGAAAGAUUAUUAGUCACUUGUGCUAACCCAGUGAAAUGGCUAAAACUGUUCUUUGUCUGUUCAUGGAGAACUUCCUUGGGUGUCUUGACUCUUUCUAGCUUAGUCCUUUUAUUCCCUAGUUUUUGCAUUUCCCUAAAUGAUGCUAGGCAGUGUGAUCCCUCAUUCUUUGAUAAUUUGACCCCAGUUGGUUUCUCCCUACUGAAGACAUAAAACCAGAAAAGCUGCUAAGCAGUUGAGAGUUCUACAUCUUAGGACACAAUUCAGUUGUUAGACACAUCUGCUCUUUCACCCUUCCUUCACUGUGUCACGUGGGUAUCUUAUCUGCAUGAAGCUGGUACCAGAAUUCCUAUUUGCUGUAUCCUCUGUGUUCCCCCAUAGUGUGUUGUGCAUUUUGACUCAUUAAAGUCUGUAAAUAUAAUUGGCCUGCAUUAAUAAUUGUCCUCCUAGGCUUGCUGCCUCAGUCUGUUAACCUAGGCCUAAUCCUGGAAGCUUCUAGUCUCUGUGCAAUCUAAUGUAGGCCUAGAACGUCAGCCUCUGAGACUUACUGCUGAUCACCCUUCCUAGUUCUUCCCGAGUUCUGCUUGGCUGGUUCAGCUUAGGUGUUCUGGCUCAUCAUAUUCUUCUUCAGGCUGACUGAAUCUGACUUCUCUCUCAGCUUCUUCUGAAUCACUCUGCUUUGCUUGAAACUAACUCUAGCAAUCUGUUCUAAUCUCCUCAUUUUCUGGCUCAUUCUGUCUUUACCUGUGUCUAGCUUGUUCUCUCUCUUCAACCUGUCUCUGUAAAACACUACUGGUAAAACUACCCCCCACCCCUGUUCUCUUAAGUAUCUUCCCUUUCCUCCUCUCUCUUCUGAUAGUUGGGCAUAUCCUAUUCUGUCAAAUCUUUGUCUGCCACUUAAACACAACGUCAACUUCUAACUAGGUGCUUUCUUCUACAAACUAACUUUAUCUUCUUAGUUUGGGAUUAAAAGGAGUGUUCUAAGGGUGUGUCUGUAGUCCAGCCAGAAGGAUUUAAGGUGUGUGCUAGGGAGGCUGAGCCACAACACAGCUAGAAACAAGUUUUUCAGUAAAUGACACAAUCAUAGUGUGGUCAAAUGUCCUGCCACAAAAGUCAGAUUCUGUUUGAUAGUAAAUUGUGAGCUUCUUAGAGUACAGGAUCUUGAUUUUUUUUUUUAAAGAGUAUUUUCUUUUUUGUAUUACCCACUGUUAUCCACAGGUCUAGCACAUGACUGCUUUAUAAUUAUCUGAAUAACUGAGCACAGAAACAUUUUCAUUUUUACUGUGGCUUUCUUUAAUUUUGCUUCACACUGCCUAUUUCAAACAGUAGUUUUCAUUUCUCACAGAGAUACUCACUGCUUCAGUGGGCGUGUUCUCUUUGAAGAGUUCUGAGUAAGCAGAUCAGGUGGCACAUACCUGUCAUCUGAGGUAGGAUUGGAAGUUUAAGCUACAUACUAAGACCCUGUCUAAAGCAAAGGACUGUGUGUGUAAACCACAGUAAACGUAGUGCUUCUAUUUAAAAUAGAGCACCCUCAGCUUGCUGCCUCCCAGUCACCAAAGAAACCAGGAGGCAGCUUGAACUUCAGUUUUAGGAGCUGAAAGGUAAAAUAAGAAAUCUCUGGUUUGUAAGUUUAAAGCUUUGACCAUUAGCAGAUAGUUACUUGGGGAGUAUGGAGACUGUUUUCUUUACAUGUUGUUUUCUUUCCCUGACUCAGUGUUACUGAAGCCAGGGUUUUGAGCUGGGUAAGCUCUCAAACACUGAGCUAAAUCCCUUAAUUUUCAAUUUUUUUUUUUUGUUUAUUUGGGUUUUUUGUUGUUGUUUGAUUUGUUUUUAUUAUUGAUUUCUUGAGACAAUGUAGACCUAACUGUCCUGAAAUUAAUUCUGUAAAUCAGGCUGGCCUUGAGUUCAGAGAUCCUGUCUCUGCCUCCUGAGUGCUAGGAUUAAAAGUGUAAAAUAUCACCCUGACUUAUUUUUCAAUUUUUUUUAUUGAUCCUUUUCCCCCCCCAGCUAACACAGAGAUAAUUAUUGUACUUUUAAUACCAGUUUUUUAAAAAAAGAUUUAUUUAUUUAUUUAUUUUAUAUAUCUGAGUACACCAUUGUUCCCUUCAGACACUCUAGAAGAGGACAUCAGAUCCCUUUAUAGAUGGAUGUGAGCCACCAUGUAGGUGCUGGGAAUUGAACUCAGGACCUCUGGAAGAGCAGUCGGUGCUCUUAACAGCUGAGUCAUCUCUUCAGCCCAAUACCAGGUUUUGUGAAAUGGAUUUUAAUGAUUGUUCUCUAAUAGUUAACAUGUCUAUAAACUUAGACACUGGACUAGUGUUAAUAAUGAGAUUACAGCAUAUGUGUUGUACAGCAAUUUCCUCUAGGAUUAAAACAUUCUCUCUUGCAGGGAAGCUCCUUAUGCAGGAAAGUAAACAACUCAAUAUAUAUUCAGGUAGUCCCUGAAUCUGUCCAGAUUGACUAGGCCCCUCCCUGUCAGCUGAGUAACAAAGAAAACUUUCAAAGGAGAAAAGCUUCAAAGAAGACUCUGAGAUCAGACCAGGUGCCUGCAAGAGGUUUAGACUAGAGUCCAACUUGGAAAGGACACUCAGCCUGUUGAGCUGUAUGCAGGUUGUGCCAUGUGCUCUGGGUUUCCGAGCUUUGGUGAGCUGUCAGUCAUGCUGGGUGGGUCUGGGCCAUGCAGCUGUCUUUGAGUCAUUCUGCUCCUGUAAGCAACCUCUCUCAUAUUCCUUUAAGAAACGCCAAUAACAUUCGUGGGUUCACCAAGUUGGACUUUGGUGGUAUCCAAACUUUGGUCUUUUGUGGGAUCCCUAUCUAGCGUGAGUAGAUAUCCGUGUUGUCUCUCCAGAACAAAUUUUGUCACACAACAGUUGUGUACUCUGGUAUCACAUUGAAUUUCCCUUUAGGUAUAAUUACAUGGUUUGCAUAGUUGACAUAGAUCGUAUAGGCUCUGUGUCUCUUAUUAAUUUUGAUACUUUGGUAGUAGGUAUUUUACUUGUGAGUAGUUUGUUAUUAUGUAUUUUCUGACUAAGCUGUUUGUAUAAAGGACAGUCAGUGGUUGGGUUUUACACACAAAGGCCUACCUUGUUUCCAUGUGGUUUUAUCUGUCAGUUUCCU
rnacentral:lncRNA from 1 species